rnacentral:rRNA from 1 species
ACACCGGCAGCUCAAGUGGUAGCCGCUUUUAUUGGGCCUAAAGCGUCCGUAGCCGGUCUGAUAAGUCUCUGGUGAAAUCCCGCUGCUUAACUGUGGGAAUUGCUGGAGAUACUAUCAUGACUCGAGGUCGGGAGAGGCUGGAGGUACUCCCAGGGUAGGGGUGAAAUCCUGUAAUCCUGGGAGGACCACCUGUGGCGAAGGCGUCCAGCUGGAACGAACCUGACGGUGAGGGACGAAAGCCAGGGGCGCGAACCGGAUUAGAUACCCGGGUAGUCCUGGCCGUAAACGAUGUGGACUUGGUGUUGGGAUGGCUUCGAGCUGCCCCAGUGCCGAAGGGAAGCUGUUAAGUCCACCGCCUGGGAAGUACGGCCGCAAGGCUGAAACUUAAAGGAAUUGGCGGGG